rnacentral:rRNA from 1 species
AGAGUUUGAUCCUGGCUCAGAACGAACGCUGGCGGCGUGCCUAACACAUGCAAGUCGUGCGAGAAAAGGAACUUCGGUUCCCGAGUAAAGCGGCGCACGGGUGAGUAGCGCGUGGGUAAGCUACCUCCGAGACCGGGACAACCUGGCGAAAGCCGGGCUAAUACCGGAUAAGCCCACAGGGGCUGCGGCCCCUGGGGGAAAAGGGUGCCCUCUCCAUGGAAGGUACCGCUCGAAGAUGCGCCCGCGUCCGAUUAGCUUGUUGGUGAGGUAACGGCUCACCAAGGCUUAGAUCGGUAGCUGGUCUAAGAGGACGAUCAGCCACACUGGGACUGAGACACGGCCCAGACUCCUACGGGAGGCAGCAGUGGGGAAUAUUGCGCAAUGGGGGAAACCCUGACGCAGCAACGCCGCGUGGGUGAUGAAGGCCUUCGGGUCGUAAAGCCUUGUCAGGUGGGACGAAUGGCCGCGGGUGAAUAAUCCGUUGGCUUUGACGGUACCGCCAAAGGAAGCACCGGCUAACUCCGUGCCAGCAGCCGCGGUAAUACGGAGGGUGCAAGCGUUGUUCGGAAUUACUGGGCGUAAAGAGCUUGUAGGCGGCCUGUUAAGUCUGAUGUGAAAGCCCUCGGCUCAACCGAGGAAGUGCAUUGGAUACUGGCAGGCUUGAGUAUGGGAGAGGAGAGCGGAAUUCCCGGUGUAGAGGUGAAAUUCGUA